UACGUAGGGGGCGAGCGUUGUCCGGAUUUAUUGGGCGUAAAGAGCGUGUAGGCGGCCAGGUAGGUCUGCUGUGAAAACUCGAGGCUCAACCUCGAGACGUCGGCUGAAACCAUCUGGCUAGAGUCCGGAAGAGGAGAGUGGGAUUCCUGGUGUAGCGGUGAAAUGCGCAGAUAUCAGGAAGAACACCCGUGGCGAAGGCGGCUCUCUGGGACGGUACUGACGCUGAGACGCGAAAGCGUGGGGAGCGAACAGG
rnacentral:rRNA from 1 species